CACAAUGAUUCUCACCUUUUAAUACACGAUUUGAUUACUAUUUAUUGUUUUAGGGUACCAAGAUACACAAGAGAAUUAGAGUAAAAAGGCAGAUUAUGGCAUCACAAGGAAAACAGUGUGACCCGUCAAUCUCCUGAGGGAACUGCUGAGGUGAUCAGGUCACGCCUGCUGUUCCCAGGAGCAGACACGCAGAUUUGCAGCCCUCUUCCUACUUGACGUGACUACUCGUAUAAGGUGUCAGGUGGUAAUGAAAGCACAUGAUUUGUUCUGGUCUGUUGGUUAACUGGAAGCUGGCCGUACCCAACGCAUCCUUCUCCAUGACAUGGUCUUUAUUGGUUUUCUAUACUGUACCUGACUGUAAUGUCUGUUCAGAAACUAUGGAUGCAUCAAGAAGAAAACAAAGAAUCAUUAGUAAAACAACAAGUUACAAUUAAAAUCUAGAGUGUUAUGACAAUA